rnacentral:rRNA from 1 species
AACGCAGCGAAGGGCGAUACGUAAUGUGAAUUGCAGAAUUCAGUGAAUCAUCGAAUCUUUGAACGCACCUUGCGCCCCUUGGCAUUCCGAGGGGCACACCCGUUUGAGUGUCGUGAAAUCAUCAAAACCUUUUCUUUGAUCCUUUUUGGUCAGGAAAAGGAUUUUUGGACUUGGAGGUUCCAUGCUUGCUUUUUGCUUAUGAAAGUGAGCUCCUCUCAAAUAAAUUAGUGGGGUCUGCUUUGCUGAUCCUUGAUGUGAUAAGAUGUUUCUACAUUUUGGAUUUAGCACUGUCCCUUGGACGCCUGCUCCUAACUGUCUUUUGGUACAAUGAUGGUGCUUCGGUUGCCGCCAUUUAUGUUGGCGGGAGGCUGAACCCACCAAAAANAAAAAAAACCUUGACCUCAAAUCGGGUGAGACUACCCGCUGAACUUAA